GGCAACCGCACGGCCUAUACCUCUCAGAGCAGCCUGAGCCCUCCGACAGGGGGAACGGACCCGAGCCCCUCUGGGACCCCCCCGUGUCCUCCUCGAGGCGCAGUCCUCGCUAUGACCCCUCCUCCCCGCUGGGACCCUGUGGUGGGUUGACCUUGGCUGGAUGCCAGGUGCCCACCCAGCCGCUCUAUCACUCCCCUUUCCAGCGGGACAGUGACUGAGGAGAGUCAUGAAGAACCAGCCUUCAGAAACUUUGUGCAGGACAUGCGGAUGAAAUGCCAGAGGAGAAGCAACCCAAAGGAAUGAGACCUUCAGAAACAGAAGUAACUGUUGGUCCAAUGAGUUAAAGGUCUUGCAGCCAACUGACUGCACAUUUGGCCAUCUGCCACUGUGGCUUCCUGAAGCUGAAGGAACCAAACAGUUUCUUUUCCUGCAA